rnacentral:rRNA from 1 species
UGUUGACAGUUACCAAACUGUUGCCUCGGCGGGGUCACGCCCCGGGUGCGUCGCAGCCCCGGAACCAGGCGCCCGCCGGAGGAACCAACCAAACUCUUUCUGUAGUCCCCUCGCGGACGUAUUUCUUACAGCUCUGAGCAAAAAUUCAAAAUGAAUCAAAACUUUCAACAACGGAUCUCUUGGUUCUGGCAUCGAUGAAGAACGCAGCGAAAUGCGAUAAGUAAUGUGAAUUGCAGAAUUCAGUGAAUCAUCGAAUCUUUGAACGCACAUUGCGCCCGCCAGUAUUCUGGCGGGCAUGCCUGUCCGAGCGUCAUUUCAACCCUCGAACCCCUCCGGGGGAUCGGCGUUGGGGAUCGGGACCCCUCACACGGGUGCCGGCCCCGAAAUACAGUGGCGGUCUCGCCGCAGCCUCUCCUGCGCAGUAGUUUGCACAACUCGCACCGGGAGCGCGGCGCGUCCACGUCCGUAAAACACCCAACUUUCUGAAAUGUUGACCUCGGAUCAGGUAGGAAUACCCGCUGAACUUAAGCAUAUCAAA